rnacentral:rRNA from 1 species
AGACUGUAGGGCUUGAGUGUGGGAGAGGAUAGCGGAAUUCCCGGUGUAGCGGUGAAAUGCGUAGAGAUCGGGAGGAACACCAGUGGCGAAGGCGGCUAUCUGGACCAAGACUGACACUGAGGCGCGAAAGCGUGGGUAGCAAACAGGAUUAGAUACCCUGGUAGUCCACGCUGUAAACGAUGGAUGCUAGGUGUAGGAGGUAUCGACCCCUUCUGUGCCGCAGUUAACGUAAUAAGCAUCCCGCCUGGGGAGUACGGCCGCAAGGUUGAAACUCAAAGGAAUUGACGGGACCCCGCACAAGCAGCGGAGCAUGUGGUUUAAUUCGACGCAACGCGAAGAACCUUACCAGGUCUUGACAUCGAAGGAAUGCGCAGAGAUGCGCAGUGCCCGCAAGGGAGCCUGAAGACAGGUGGUGCAUGGUUGUCGUCAGCUCGUGUCGUGAGAUGUUGGGUUAAGUCCCGCAACGAGCGCAACCCUUGCCGUCAGUUACUAACGGGUAAAGCCGAGGACUCUGACGGGACUGCCGUGGACAACACGGAGGAAGGUGGGGAUGACGUCAAAUCAUCAUGCCCCUUAUGACCUGGGCUACACACGUGCUACAAUGGCCGGAACAAAGAGGGACGAAUACGCAAGUAAGAGUGGAUCUCAAAAACCGGUCUCAGUUCAGAUUGUGGGCUGCAACCCGCCCACAUGAAGUCGGAGUUGCUAGUAAUCGCGAAUCAGCAUGUCGCGGUGAAUACGUUCCCGGGGUUUGUACACACCGCCCGUCACACCAUGGGAGUUGGGAGCGCCCGAAGCGGGUGAGAUAACCGCAA